rnacentral:rRNA from 1 species
UACGAACCGUCCAAACGUUAUUCGGAUUCAUUGGGCUUAAAGGGUACGUAGGCGGCGCCAUCAGUCGGGUGUGAAAGCCCUCGGCUCAACCGAGGAACUGCGCCCGAUACUGUGGUGCUCGAGGGAGACAGAGGUAAGCGGAACUGAUGGUGGAGCGGUGAAAUGCGUUGAUAUCAUCAGGAACACCGGUGGCGAAAGCGGCUUACUGGGUCUCUUCUGACGCUGAGGUACGAAAGCUAGGGGAGCGAACGGG